rnacentral:rRNA from 1 species
AACGAACGCUGGCGGCAUGCCUAACACAUGCAAGUCGAACGAGACCUUCGGGUCUAGUGGCGCACGGGUGCGUAACGCGUGGGAAUCUGCCCUUGGGUUCGGAAUAACAGUUGGAAACGACUGCUAAUACCGGAUGAUGACGUAAGUCCAAAGAUUUAUCGCCCAAGGAUGAGCCCGCGUAGGAUUAGCUAGUUGGUGAGGUAAAGGCUCACCAAGGCGACGAUCCUUAGCUGGUCUGAGAGGAUGAUCAGCCACACUGGGACUGAGACACGGCCCAGACUCCUACGAGAGGAAGCAGUGGGGAAUAUUGGACAAUGGGCGAAAGCCUGAUACAGCAAUGCAGCGUGAGUGAUGAAGGCCUUAGGGUUGUAAAGCUCUUUUACCCGGGAUGAUAAUGACAGUACCGGGAGAAUAAGCUCCGGCUAACUCCGUG